GGAAAUUAAGGCACAGAGGGUUAAGUAACUUGUCCAGUUUAUAAAGACAGAUGUCCACUAUGAGACCACAGGACCAGCUGAAACCCGCCAGAACCAAUAUGACCGACUGGAGCUCGCGCAAGGAUUUGCCGGGCCACGGGGUGAUCUUUUGACGUCACCGUCUGAACUUCCGCCCCAAGUUUCAUACUAACUCCCCCUAAAUUUUCACAUGCCACCCAUGAAGAGGCAACUGCACAUGGGCAAGGGACUUUCCAAACAUCCCCGUUCCCUGGCCAAUCACUAAUCUACCCUGAAACACUUUCCUCCAAAUCCU
rnacentral:lncRNA from 1 species